UACGAAGGGGGCUAGCGUUGCUCGGAAUCACUGGGCGUAAAGGGUGCGUAGGCGGGUUUUUAAGUCAGAGGUGAAAUCCUGGAGCUCAACUCCAGAACUGCCUUUGAUACUGGGAAUCUUGGGUAUGGAAGAGGUGAGUGGAACUGCGAGUGUAGAGGUGAAAUUCGUAGAUAUUCGCAAGAACACCAGUGGCGAAGGCGGCUCACUGGUCCAUAACUGACGCUGAGGUGCGAAAGCGUGGGGAGCAAACAGG
rnacentral:rRNA from 1 species